CGAGAAGUUAAGUCAAAGAUGGACCGUGUAUUACUUAGUUUAGAUUGUGGGUGCAAAUCUUCGGUGCUGCGGAUAUGUGUAAAGUUAUUUGUUUUUAUAUUAACUGUAGAUUGUGUAAUAGCAAGGCCCGUUGAUAGUACCCCAAUUUCGCAAAGUGCAAUAUAUGUUGUAUUAUUGUCUACAAUUUCUCUUGUGGCACUAUUUGGGGUCGGAUGUAUAUAUUGUGUGAGCUGUAAAGAGUCAUCAAAUGGCGGAAAACCAGACACACAACAACCAACGGUUAUAAAAAAUACCAAACGCAGUAGUGUCGUUAGCGUUGGUAUGGGUAAUAGUAAUACAGUGUUUAACAAUCGAUCAAACUCACUGACGCCCGUUGACAGCCCUACUACCGAUGGUACCAUAGUUCAUAUAGCUAAAUCUAAAAGAAUCAGCAGAGAAUCAUAUAAAAGGGGAAAUGAAGAUAACAAAAGACCGUCAACAAUACCUGAAAAUAAUGAUUAUCUACCAUGAUAGAAUUAUCUCCCUUGGGUAACUCUGCAAGGGCUUGUGCAACACUCAACACUUGGCCACAGUACACCUUGGAUGUUUCCGUUGAUUCUAAUGUUACUUCUCAUCUCUUUCGUUGGUUCUAACUCUUCCCCAAAUUUUCAUUUGGUUGAACGCUUUCUAUCACAGAUGGGACAACACGUGGCAACUUCAGUCAAGCUUGUGUGUGGAAACCGUGAAAUGGGAUAUUCAAACUGGAAGAGCAUACUAGUAAACACGGCAUUAUUCACCCUAAUGUAGCCAACCUCUUAACUUUGUUAUCAUCCUGACUCAAAAUCACGAAUAUUCACCCAAACUUUGCAGACAUUAUAUUUGCAAACCCCUUUCUUCGAUUCUGCACCAAAGAGUCAGCACAGAUCUCCAUGGAAAAAGAGGAAAAAGAAAAGGGAGAGAAAGAUUUGAAAUAGAAGGGAUGUAGGAAUUCUUUUGUGUCCUGUGUUCCUAUCCCAGUCAGCCACUAUACCAUUACAGUUUAUGCACAAUUUGAUCUAUUUUUAAAAGCAUUCAUUUACGUAUUUAAACCUAUAUUGUAUAUACUAUUUCGAUAAAAUUGUAUUGUCUGUAACAAUAUGCAUGGAAGGGGACCUCUUUAGGUUACUGAGACUUGUGCCGGAUUCAUGAAACCCUACUAUAUACAAAAACUUACAGAUGCUUUAUGUAAGAGCUAAACAUGCCUAUUACAGGUCUUUCUUGUAGCUUUAAAUGUUAUAUAAAUUAUUCUUUAGACAUUUAUUAACACAAUAAGUCUAUAAUCAACCAUCUUAAACAUCAGGUGGCCGAGAUUAAAAUGGCGGGAUUUUAAAAUUUAACGAUAAAGUGGAUAAUCGAGACUUAUUUUCGGUUGUCAAGUACCGUUGCUACGAUGAUAGGCGAUCUAUGCUACAUCUUCAAACACGCAUUCAACUUCGAUCAGAAUAAAGUAAUAUGAAUGAAAUUUUCAAUAUAUUCAUUUUUCAUUAUCUAUUUUUCGACUAGUAUAGCAAGAACGGUCAGCUCUUUAUCUAAUUUUUUUUUAUUUUAUUAUUAUUAUUAUUAUUGUUUGAUUUAUAUAGCGCUUCAUUACAAAUGAGUGUUUCUAAGCGCAUUCACAACAAAACAGUUCAAAAGCAUUUUUGAAAUAAGUAUGUUUUUAAGUUAGUCUUAAAGCUCUGGAUGGAAGAGGACUCUCUAAGAGUUUCUGGAAGAUCAUUCCAUAUUUUAGCUGCUCUGAGGGAGAAAGGAUAUUCACCAGAACGCUUAUUAUAUUUGGGGAUCCUCAAUAUGCUACGAUCACUUGAAGAACGAAGGUUGGAUCGCCUGGGAGUAUAGAAAUCAAAGAGUUCUUUUAAAUAACUGGGUGCGGUGUCAGAAUAAAUUGAUUUAAACACAUUCACAAGAGCUUUAAAUUGAACCAUCGCUCGAACUGGAAGCCAAUGGAGUUUCUGUAACUUAGCUGAUAUAUGAUCAAAUUUUCGUGUUUUAGUUAUAAGACGUGCAGCAUUGUUUUGCGCUAUUUGUAGCCUGUUUAAAGCUGUUUCUGGUGCUCCUAAUAGAAGAGAAUUUGCAUAGUCCAUAUGCGAUGUUACUAAUGUAUCUUUAAUAUGUUCAAAUUAAUACGAAACAAUUAGAAGAUAAUUAAAUGGUCCCUAACACCUACUCUGUUAUUACUAUAAUAAUACCGUAAAAAGUAUAAAUAAUACAUGUAUUGAUAUAUUACCCUGUUUGUAUAUUGAUAUUUUCCAUCAUCUUUAUAUAUUAGUGCUAUGCUUAAUAGCUACUACCCAUGGCUAUUUAUUCCAUUCAGCUUAUUUAUCCAUCAUUUCCACCCCCGCACUUCGUAUCCUGUGAUUAUUUGCUAUACUCUGCAUAAAUAAAAGACCCGUAGCAAUAAAAUGAACUAUUAUAGCGUUUUUCUAGUGGAGUGAAUGUUUCAAACAUGUAUGGUUUAAUAAGUAUGUGUUGAAAUUACAUAG